AGAGUUUGAUCAUGGCUCAGGACGAACGCUGGCGGCAUGCCUAAUACAUGCAAGUCGAACGAUGAAUCUCCCUGCUUGCAGAGAGAGGAAGAGUGGCGAACGGGUGAGUAACACGUGAGGAACUUGCCCAUAAGAGGGGGAUAACAUCCGGAAACGGGUGCUAAUACCGCAUAGGUGAUACAGUUGCAUGACCGUAUCAUGAAAGGUGGCUCUGCUACCGCUUAUGGAUAGCCUCGCGGCGCAUUAGCUAGUUGGUGGGGUAAAGGCCUACCAAGGCGAUGAUGCGUAGCCGACUUGAGAGGGUGAUCGGCCACACUGGGACUGAGACACGGCCCAGACUCCUACGGGAGGCAGCAGUAGGGAAUCUUCCACAAUGGGUGCAAACCUGAUGGAGCAAUGCCGCGUGAGUGAAGAAGGACUUCGGUUCGUAAAGCUCUGUUGUUGGAGAAGAACAAGGAUAGGAGUAACUGUCUAUCCCCUGACGGUACCCAACCAGAAAGUCACGGCUAACUACGUGCCAGCAGCCGCGGUAAUACGUAGGUGACAAGCGUUGUCCGGAUUUAUUGGGCGUAAAGCGAGCGCAGGCGGCUCUUUAAGUCUGAUGUGAAAGCCCACGGCUCAACCGUGGAACGGCAUUGGAAACUGGAGAGCUUGAAUGUAGAAGAGGAAAGUGGAAUUCCAUGUGUAGCGGUGGAAUGCGUAGAUAUAUGGAGGAACACCAGUGGCGAAGGCGACUUUCUGGUCUACUAUUGACGCUGAGGCUCGAAAGCGUGGGGAGCGAACAGGAUUAGAUACCCUGGUAGUCC
rnacentral:rRNA from 1 species